UGGGGAAUUUUGGACAAUGGGGGAAACCCUGAUCCAGCCAUCCCGCGUGUGCGAUGAAGGCCUUCGGGUUGUAAAGCACUUUUGGCAGGAAAGAAACGUCGCGGGUUAAUACCCCGCGAAACUGACGGUACCUGCAGAAUAAGCACCGGCUAACUACGUGCCAGCAGCCGCGGUAAUACGUAGGGUGCAAGCGUUAAUCGGAAUUACUGGGCGUAAAGCGUGCGCAGGCGGUUCGGAAAGAAAGAUGUGAAAUCCCAGAGCUUAACUUUGGAACUGCAUUUUUUAACUACCGGGCUAGAGUGUGUCAGAGGGAGGUGGAAUUCCGCGUGUAGCAGUGAAAUGCGUAGAUAUGCGGAGGAACACCGAUGGCGAAGGCAGCCUCCUGGGAUAACACUGACGCUCAUGCACGAAAGCGUGGGGAGCAAACAGGAUUAGAUACCCUGGUAGUCCACGCCCUAAACGAUGUCAACUAGCUGUUGGGGCCUUCGGGCCUUGGUAGCGCAGCUAA
rnacentral:rRNA from 1 species